rnacentral:rRNA from 1 species
UACGAAGGGGGCUAGCGUUGUUCGGAUUUACUGGGCGUAAAGCGCACGUAGGCGGGUCGUUAAGUCAGGGGUGAAAUCCCGGGGCUCAACCCCGGAACUGCCUUUGAUACUGGUAGUCUCGAGUCCGGAAGAGGUGAGUGGAAUUCCGAGUGUAGAGGUGAAAUUCGUAGAUAUUCGGAGGAACACCAGUGGCGAAGGCGGCUCACUGGUCCGGUACUGACGCUGAGGUGCGAAAGCGUGGGGAGCAAACAGG